rfam:Ovis aries breed Texel chromosome 14, whole genome shotgun sequence.
CCUGAUAGCUCAGUGGGUAAAGAAUCUGCCUGUAAUACAGGAGACCCAGGUUUAAUUCCUGGGUCAGGA